AGUCGAACGGCAGCACGGGAGCUUGCUCUUGGUGGCGAGUGGCGAACGGGUGAGUAAUGCGUCGGAACGUACCGAGUAAUGGGGGAUAACGCAGCGAAAGUUGUGCUAAUACCGCAUACGCCCUGAGGGGGAAAGUGGGGGAUCGCAAGACCUCACGUUAUUCGAGCGGCCGACGUCUGAUUAGCUCGUUGGUGAGGUAAUGGCUCACCAAGGCGACGAUCAGUAGCGGGUCUGAGAGGAUGAUCCGCCACACUGGAACUGAGACACGGUCCAGACUCCUACGGGAGGCAGCAGUGGGGAAUUUUGGACAAUGGGGGCAACCCUGAUCCAGCCAUUCCGCGUGAGUGAAGAAGGCCUUCGGGUUGUAAAGCUCUUUCAGCCGGAACGAAACGGUACGCCUUAAUACGGUGUGCUAAUGACGGUACCGGCAGAAGAAGCACCGGCUAACUACGUGCCAGCAGCCGCGGUAAUACGUAGGGUGCGAGCGUUAAUCGGAAUUACUGGGCGUAAAGCGUGCGCAGGCGGAUUGUUAAGCAAGAUGUGAAAUCCCCGGGCUUAACCUGGGAAUGGCAUUUUGAACUGGCAGUCUAGAGUGUGUCAGAGGGGGGUGGAAUUCCACGUGUAGCAGUGAAAUGCGUAGAGAUGUGGAGGAACACCGAUGGCGAAGGCAGCCCCCUGGGAUAACACUGACGCUCAUGUACGAAAGCGUGGGUAGCAAACAGGAUUAGAUACCCUGGUAGUCCACGCCCUAAACGAUGUCAACUGGUUGUUGGGGGAGUGAAAUCCCUUAGUAACGAAGCUAACGCGUGAAGUUGACCGCCUGGGGAGUACGGUCGCAAGAUUAAAACUCAAAGGAAUUGACGGGGACCCGCACAAGCGGUGGAUGAUGUGGAUUAAUUCGAUGCAACGCGAAAAACCUUACCUACCCUUGACAUGUCCAGAACCCUG
rnacentral:rRNA from 1 species